rnacentral:tRNA from 1 species
CGCGGGGUAGAGCAGUUGGUAGCUCGUCGGGCUCAUAAUCCGAAGGUCGUAGGUUCGAAUCCUGCCCCCGCAACCA